GACGUGCUAAUCUGCGAUAAGCGUCGGUAAGGUGAUAUGAACCGUUAUAACCGGCGAUUUCCGAAUGGGGAAACCCAGUGUGAUUCGUCACACUAUCAUUAACUGAAUCCAUAGGUUAAUGAGGCGAACCGGGGGAACUGAAACAUCUAAGUACCCCGAGGAAAAGAAAUCAACCGAGAUUCCCCCAGUAGCGGCGAGCGAACGGGGAGCAGCCCAGAGCCUGAAUCAGUGUGUGUGUUAGUGGAAGCGUCUGGAAAGGCGUGCGAUACAGGGUGACAGCCCCGUACACAAAAAUGCACAUACUGUGAGCUCGAUGAGUAGGGCGGGACACGUGGUAUCCUGUCUGAAUAUGGGGGGACCAUCCUCCAAGGCUAAAUACUCCUGACUGACCGAUAGUGAACCAGUACCGUGAGGGAAAGGCGAAAAGAACCCCGGCGAGGGGAGUGAAAAAGAACCUGAAACCGUGUACGUACAAGCAGUGGGAGCACGCUUAGGCGUGUGACUGCGUACCUUUUGUAUAAUGGGUCAGCGACUUAUAUUCUGUAGCAAGGUUAACCGAAUAGGGGAGCCGAAGGGAAACCGAGUCUUAACUGGGCGUUAAGUUGCAGGGUAUAGACCCGAAACCCGGUGAUCUAGCCAUGGGCAGGUUGAAGGUUGGGUAACACUAACUGGAGGACCGAACCGACUAAUGUUGAAAAAUUAGCGGAUGACUUGUGGCUGGGGGUGAAAGGCCAAUCAAACCGGGAGAUAGCUGGUUCUCCCCGAAAGCUAUUUAGGUAGCGCCUCGUGAAUUCAUCUCCGGGGGUAGAGCACUGUUUCGGCAAGGGGGUCAUCCCGACUUACCAACCCGAUGCAAACUGCGAAUACCGGAGAAUGUUAUCACGGGAGACACACGGCGGGUGCUAACGUCCGUCGUGAAGAGGGAAACAACCCAGACCGCCAGCUAAGGUCCCAAAGUCAUGGUUAAGUGGGAAACGAUGUGGGAAGGCCCAGACAGCCAGGAUGUUGGCUUAGAAGCAGCCAUCAUUUAAAGAAAGCGUAAUAGCUCACUGGUCGAGUCGGCCUGCGCGGAAGAUGUAACGGGGCUAAACCAUGCACCGAAGCUGCGGCAGCGACGCUUAUGCGUUGUUGGGUAGGGGAGCGUUCUGUAAGCCUGUGAAGGUGUGCUGUGAGGUAUGCUGGAGGUAUCAGAAGUGCGAAUGCUGACAUAAGUAACGAUAAAGCGGGUGAAAAGCCCGCUCGCCGGAAGACCAAGGGUUCCUGUCCAACGUUAAUCGGGGCAGGGUGAGUCGACCCCUAAGGCGAGGCCGAAAGGCGUAGUCGAUGGGAAACAGGUUAAUAUUCCUGUACUUGGUGUUACUGCGAAGGGGGGACGGAGAAGGCUAUGUUGGCCGGGCGACGGUUGUCCCGGUUUAAGCGUGUAGGCUGGUUUUCCAGGCAAAUCCGGAAAAUCAAGGCCGAGGCGUGAUGACGAGGCACUACGGUGCUGAAGCAACAAAUGCCCUGCUUCCAGGAAAAGCCUCUAAGCAUCAGGUAACAUCAAAUCGUACCCCAAACCGACACAGGUGGUCAGGUAGAGAAUACCAAGGCGCUUGAGAGAACUCGGGUGAAGGAACUAGGCAAAAUGGUGCCGUAACUUCGGGAGAAGGCACGCUGAUACGUAGGUGAAGCGACUUGCUCGUGGAGCUGAAAUCAGUCGAAGAUACCAGCUGGCUGCAACUGUUUAUUAAAAACACAGCACUGUGCAAACACGAAAGUGGACGUAUACGGUGUGACGCCUGCCCGGUGCCGGAAGGUUAAUUGAUGGGGUUAGCGCAAGCGAAGCUCUUGAUCGAAGCCCCGGUAAACGGCGGCCGUAACUAUAACGGUCCUAAGGUAGCGAAAUUCCUUGUCGGGUAAGUUCCGACCUGCACGAAUGGCGUAAUGAUGGCCAGGCUGUCUCCACCCGAGACUCAGUGAAAUUGAACUCGCUGUGAAGAUGCAGUGUACCCGCGGCAAGACGGAAAGACCCCGUGAACCUUUACUAUAGCUUGACACUGAACAUUGAGCCUUGAUGUGUAGGAUAGGUGGGAGGCUUUGAAGUGUGGACGCCAGUCUGCAUGGAGCCGACCUUGAAAUACCACCCUUUAAUGUUUGAUGUUCUAACGUGGACCCGUGAUCCGGGUUGCGGACAGUGUCUGGUGGGUAGUUUGACUGGGGCGGUCUCCUCCUAAAGAGUAACGGAGGAGCACGAAGGUUGGCUAAUCCUGGUCGGACAUCAGGAGGUUAGUGCAAUGGCAUAAGCCAGCUUGACUGCGAGCGUGACGGCGCGAGCAGGUGCGAAAGCAGGUCAUAGUGAUCCGGUGGUUCUGAAUGGAAGGGCCAUCGCUCAACGGAUAAAAGGUACUCCGGGGAUAACAGGCUGAUACCGCCCAAGAGUUCAUAUCGACGGCGGUGUUUGGCACCUCGAUGUCGGCUCAUCACAUCCUGGGGCUGAAGUAGGUCCCAAGGGUAUGGCUGUUCGCCAUUUAAAGUGGUACGCGAGCUGGGUUUAGAACGUCGUGAGACAGUUCGGUCCCUAUCUGCCGUGGGCGCUGGAGAACUGAGGGGGGCUGCUCCUAGUACGAGAGGACCGGAGUGGACGCAUCACUGGUGUUCGGGUUGUCAUGCCAAUGGCACUGCCCGGUAGCUAAAUGCGGAAGAGAUAAGUGCUGAAAGCAUCUAAGCACGAAACUUGCCCCGAGAUGAGUUCUCCCUGACCCUUUAAGGGUCCUGAAGGAACGUUGAAGACGACGACGUUGAUAGGCCGGGUGUGUAAGCGCAGCGAUGCGUUGAGCUAACCGGUACUAAUGAACCGUGAGGCUUAACCUU
rnacentral:rRNA from 3 species